rnacentral:rRNA from 1 species
GAAAACUUUACAAUGCUGGAAACAGCGAUAAGGGGACCUCGAGUGCCAGGUUACAAAUCUGGCUGUCGUGAUGCCUAAAAAGCAUUGCAUAGCAAGGGCCGGGCAAGACCGGUGCCAGCCGCCGCGGUAACACCGGCGGCUCGAGUGGUAACCGUUAUUAUUGGGUCUAAAGGGUCUGUAGCCGGCCGGAUAAGUCUCUUGGGAAAUCUGGCAGCUUAACUGUCAGGCUUUCAGGGGAUACUGUCUGGCUCGAGGCCGGGAGAGGUGAGAGGUACUUCAGGGGUAGGGGUGAAAUCUUGUAAUCCUUGAAGGACCACCAGUGGCGAAGGCGUCUCACCAGAACGGACCUGACGGCAAGGGACGAAAGCUAGGGGCACGAACCGGAUUAGAUACCCGGGUAGUCCUAGCCGUAAACGAUACUCGCUAGGUGUCGGCCACGGUGCGACCGUUGUCGGUGCCGUAGGGAAGCCGUGAAGCGAGCCACCUGGGAAGUACGGCCGCAAGGCUGAAACUUAAAGGAAUUGGCGGGGGAGCAC